rnacentral:rRNA from 1 species
ACGUAGGAUCCAAGCGUUAUCCGGAUUUACUGGGUUUAAAGGGUGCGUAGGCGGUUAAAUAAGUCAGUGGUGAAAUUCUGUUGCUUAACAGCAGAACUGCCACAGAUACUGUUUGACUUGAGUACAGUUGAAGUAGGCGGAAUGUGACAAGUAGCGGUGAAAUGCAUAGAUAUGUCACAGAACACCGAUAGCGAAGGCAGCUUGCUAAGCUGUUACUGACGCUGAAGCACGAAAGCGUGGGGAUCAAACAG